UACGGUUAAGGAUCAGACAGAAAGAAGAGGAGCAAAGUUCAGCUUUGGCAUAUAAAGGGAUUGAAACAAAGUAAGGCCAAGAAUAAAAAAAUGCCUAUUCAGCCAAAGAAGAAAAAAAAGACAACAAAAUCGACCAGAACAGAAAAGAAGAAGCUAGAGACCAUAAUCCCGAAAAAAAAACAACAGAUUGCUGAAUAUGCACAAAGAGCAGUCGGCACUUUUCCCACUCCCAAAAGAUCCCAACUUUCCCUUCAACCGAGACUAAUGCAAGAUUAGAGUUUCAAUUUGGCUGCACAACUUCCAACAUCAAAUCCCUUAUUUUCUCUCAAAUUCUC
rnacentral:lncRNA from 1 species